CCGGACGUCUCGUCGCUGACAAGAUUUUUUACUUGUUUGAGGAAAGUCCGGGCAACAUAGAGCACCAUAUUUCUUAACGGGAAGUUAUCGGCAACGGUAAAGGCAACGUGACAGAAAAUAACCGCCACUGACGUGGUAAGGGUGAAAAGGUGGGGUAAGAGCCCACCGGGUGGCAUAGUGAUAUGCUGCGCCGCACGCCUUAUGGGUUGCAAGGUCAAGUAUACCGCCAUUUAAGGGUUGCUCGCCCAUUGGCGGGGGGUAGACUGCUAUAGAACCGUGGCAACACGUUUCACAGAUAAAUGACGAGACGCUGAUGUUGGCUCGCUCCGGCGAUAGUGACUCAGCGACAUAACCCGGCUUACAGUUCGACUGC
rnacentral:RNase_P_RNA from 1 species